UACGUAGGGUGCGAGCGUUAAUCGGAAUUACUGGGCGUAAAGGGUGCGCAGGCGGUUGAGUGAGACAGAUGUGAAAUCCCCGAGCUUAACUCGGGAAUGGCAUAUGUGACUGCUCGACUAGAGUGUGUCAGAGGGAGGUGGAAUUCCACGUGUAGCAGUGAAAUGCGUAGAUAUGUGGAAGAACACCGAUGGCGAAGGCAGCCUCCUGGGACAUAACUGACGCUCAGGCACGAAAGCGUGGGGAGCAAACAGG
rnacentral:rRNA from 1 species